AGAGAACCCAUUUUGGCUUAAGCCAUCUUGUGAUCUAAGCCUGGCCACAAUGCUGGCCCUUGAACAGGUCUCAGUAAUUAAUGCUCUUUAAAAAAAAGAGCAGUCAAAAGACAAUACUACAGGAGUUCCUUGGGGGUGCAGCUGGUUAAGGAUCUGGUGUUGUCACUGCCAGGAGUUGGGUAGCUGCUGUGGUGUGGUUUGAUCCCUGGCCCAGGAACUUCUGCAUGCCCUGGGCUAGGACAAAACAAAAACAAACAAGCAAACAAAGAAACAAUAGAAGAGUUCCCUUUGUGGCUCUGGGGGUUAUGAACACAACUAGUAUCCAUGAGGAUGUAGUUUCAAUCCCUGGCCCAGCUCAGUGGAUUAAGGAUCCAGCGUGGCCGUGAGCUGUGCUGUAGGUCGCAGAUGCGGCUGGGAUCUGGCGUUGCUGUGUGAGGUCAGCAGCUGCAGCUCCCUAUUCAACCCCUAUCCUGGGAAUGUCCAGAUGCUCCAGUGCAGCAGGUCCCCUGCCCAAAAAAAGAGAAAGAGGAGUUCCCGUGGUGGUGCAGUGGUUAACGAAUCUGACUGGGAACCAUGAGGUUGCAGGUUCCAUCCCUGGCCUUGCUCAGUGGGUUAACGAUCCGGCGUUGCCGUGAGCUGUGGUGUAGGUUGCAGACUCGGCUCAGAUCCCGUGUUGCUGUGGCUCUGGCCUAGGCCGGCAGCUACAGCUCUGAUUAGACCCCUAGCCUGGGAACCUCCAUAUGCCGCGGGAGCAGCCCAAGAAAUAGCAAAAAGACCAAAAAAAAAAAAAAAAAAAAAGAAACAAUACAGAAACUAAGGCCCCCACCCAGUGGGAGGACAGAAUGAUAUUGACCUUCCUUGCCUUCAAUCAACUAAAUCUUGGACUCUGUUGACCUUUUGCCCCAAUUCUGUGGUGAAUUUUCCUCUGCUCAGCCCCCUCAUGAAUAUGCAUGUAUCCUUAGCUUAAAGCUUCGCCAAUUUUGAGGCUGGGGAGACAUGGCUUUGGGAAAGAUCCUCUGUGUUCUCUUUACUCGCUACAAGCAUAAUAAAUCCUUCCGACUCCCUGUCUCUGGCUUGGUUGUGUCUAUUGGCUCCACACCCACCAAGAGGCAAACCCAGUUUUUGGGCAACAACACCCUUGAAGACAGGGCAUCUCCUCUCCCUCAUCUUCCUCCCCCCGCCUGUGCCCCUGAGGUCUCUGCUGGUACCCUAGUGGAGCCAGCACUGACCCCAACACUGACCCCUACCUGGAUCGCCUUUCCUUCUUCUUGACUUCUUCCCUCUCCCCACACUGCCAAGCAUCCUUGGUACUCAGAGUUCGGCCUGAGGGCCAGCAGCAGCAGCUUGUUAGGAAACGGGGAGCACGGUGCCCUCCCCAGACCUUCGGAAUUAGCUACUACCUUUUUUUUUUUUUUUGGCUCCCUCCUGAUGCCUUCAGAAGUUCCCGGGCGAGGAAAUGAACCCAAGCUAUAGCAGUAACCCAAGCCACAGCAGUGUCAAUGCUAAGUCCUUAAGCACUAGGCCACCAGGGAACUCCAGCUACGGCAUUUUAAGAAGAUCUCCGGGUGACUCAUAAAUGCACUAAGGUUUGAAAAGCACUGCACUACAUUAUUUAUUUUCUUGUUUUUCUUUUUAGGGCCCCACCUAAAUGAUAUUGACCCUUCUUGACCUCAAUCAACUAAAGCUUGGACGUUCCCAGGCUAGGGGUUGAAUCAGAGCUGCAGCUGCCAGCUUACACUACAGCCACAACCACGCAGCAUCCAAGCUGCAUCUGCGACCUACACUACAGCUCACAGCAACACGGGAUCCUUCACCCACUGCACAAGGCCAGGGGUAGAACCUAUACCCUCAUAGAUACUAGCUGGGUUGGUUACUGCUGAGCAGCAAGAGGAUUCCUAUUCUUUAGGGCUUCACUCAAGGUCACCACUCCUAUGGAAGUGUCAUUGAUGCUCCCAUCCAGGGCCCAUUUACCUCCGUGUGGGCACUGUUAUUUACUGUCUCCUCCCUGCUGUCAUCUAUCUGCACUCAUCCAUCCAUCUAUCCAUCGGUCCAUGCCUCCAUCCACCCCAGAAUCUGCAGACACUUAGUGAGAGCUUGUUUUGGUAAGACAUCUCCUCACUGAUGAAGAUAAAAAGUAAAUUCUGCACAUUCCUUUCUCAGAGAGAUCAGAGUGCUAGGGAGGAGACAUCUAGUUGAGAGACAAGUCCAAGAUAUUGCUAAGUGCCAUUUAUUUGGCAAUCACAAAUAUGUUUGUGGAAUAAGGGUUUAAGCCAGAGGCUAAGGAGUAUCAAAGUGGCACACCUCCCUCAGCCAAGGAGGGGAAGACUAACCAGAGAUAUUGACAUCCAAGUUGAAUGCUAAUCUUUUCCGUCUCAGCCUAGACAUUCCUCCCCCUUCUCUGAUGUCCCUCUACCAGGUUAGGGGCUCCUGUUUGAUGCUUUAUGUCACAGGAAUCAGCCUGCUGAAAUGCCAAGGAAACACAUUCCCAGCCUUAGAAACAAUACAUGCAAACGUCUACAAGGUAAAGACAUCAGGGAGCAGAUGGUGUGUAUAUGCGAAUACAUCCCUGUCUUGCAAUGAUCACUGUGCCUAUCUGCUUCCCCUCCUCAUCUGUGAUGCCCAAGAGGCAGGACUACGACUUGAUCUCUAUUUCCCACCCCCAGCACAGUGCCUGGCUUUUAGUCGGAGGUCAGUAAGUAAACAGACAGGACAGCAACAAGAAGAUAGGUUCGGAGAGGGAUUUCUUCUGGGUUUAGCUCAUGGUCCUUCAAACCAGUAUCUUGGACACCCCUCUAGAGCAAUAGAAUAAGACCAUUAGGGAAACAGCUUUUUUUGUUUGUUUGUUU
rnacentral:lncRNA from 1 species